GAUGAACGCUGGCGGCAUGCCUAAUACAUGCAAGUCGAACGAGAGGAAGGAAAGCUUGCUUUCCUGAAUCUAGUGGCGAACGGGUGAGUAACACGUAGGUAACCUGCCCAUGUGCCCGGGAUAACUUCUGGAAACGGAUGCUAAAACCGGAUAGGUAGCAGACAAGCAUUUGACUGCUAUUAAAGUGGCCUUGGCCAUGAACAUGGAUGGACCUGCGGUGCAUUAGCUAGUUGGUGAGGUAACGGCCCACCAAGGCGACGAUGCAUAGCCGGCCUGAGAGGGCGGACGGCCACAUUGGGACUGAGACAUGGCCCAAACUCCUACGGGAGGGAGCAGUAGGGAAUUUUCGUCAAUGGGGGGAACCCUGAACGAGCAAUGCCGCGUGAGUGAGGAAGGUCUUCGGAUCGUAAAGCUCUGUUGUAAGAGAAAAACGGCACUCAUAGGGAAUGAUGAGUGAGUGAUGGUAUCUUACCAGAAAGUCACGGCUAACUACGUGCCAGCAGCCGCAGUAACAC
rnacentral:rRNA from 1 species